rfam:Brachypodium distachyon strain Bd21 chromosome 3, whole genome shotgun sequence.
AUACUACUCCCUCCGUCCAACAAAAAAUGUCUCAAGUUUGUCAAAAUUUGAAUAUAUCUAAACAUGAUUUAGUGUAUAGAUGCAUUCAAAUGAGACAUCAUUUGUUGGACGGAGGGAGUACUCC